AAUAAGUACAAGCAAUUUGGAACAAACCGGGUAGUGAACCAAAUAAGAUGGCAUCAUCUGCGAUAAUAAUCAAAGCAAGCCACUCAACAAGGGAUUGAUUUUGUUUUGAAGGGUCAAGAAGGAGGGGAAAAAGACUUAACAAGAUAACAUGGAUAGAACCUGUGAGAAACGAUUCUGAAAAGCUUGCUUUUGACAAUGAUGUAGCCCUUAAUAGGAAACAUUAGCAAAGAAAAGUUUUAUGACAUUGACCCCAAAAAGUUGGGACUCAGCUUGAUGGUUAUGAUUUUCUACUACAGGUUUCCACAAACCAAAUCAGGGUAUCAUUUUAGCUACUAACUAUUUCAAAUUAUUGAAACAAUAUUUCCUUCAGAACAUAACAGAGCAAGAUGCUAGAAUUGCUAAAUACCUACUGUUUCUAAUAAGUGACAACUAAAAUAUACUUAUGGUAGAUAACAUCUUGGCUCCAAAUAAAUCAUAGCAGAUAUGGAAUUAAGGGCUAGAGGACAUUUGAAGUCUAUCUUCAUUGGAGAUGAAAAACGAGUCACUGUUGGAGCUGAAGAUCUUAGUUUAAAUGCCAACUUGAAUUUUAAAACAAAAACUUAGCUGGAAAGUUAAGCUGUAGCAGAAUGGAUGAAGCAAAAUAAAUAAAUAAAUAAAUAUUUACAAAGAUCUCUCUCAGAAAUUCAGGGUCUUGAGAGCAAAAAUAAAGUAAAACGAUGAGCGCCAAAAUGUAAGACCUGACCGAGCAUAUCCCAGGAGACUAACAUACACAAGGGGAAGGAUACAAAGAGAAAGAGAUAGAUAGGUAAGGUCAGGUCACUGUAGAAAGUGAAGCGGAUUGAUGAGUAGGUCUAGUAGAGAAUGGAAUUGGAGAACAAAAUUAAGGCCGACAAGCAUUGGUCAGAAACUUUCCAACCUCAGCUAAUGCUUAUAACGAAUGGUCACUAAUACCUAAAAACAUUAACACCUAAAAUAAGGAAUGUGUGAAAAAAUUGUGCAAUAUCAGAUCCUGAAAGGCAAUUGUGAAAGAAUUUUCAAGUUUGAAAAACAGGUUCAACUGCAAGAAAUUCUGGAAAACUGUUCCUACGUGCUCUCGAGAUGUUAGAGGGAAAUGAGCAAAGAAACAUCUUUGAAAAAGCUGAGAGCCUUCGAGCAAAAAAUUAAAAGUGAGGAAUGGAAGAUCGUCUAAAGAUAUGCUUUAACUAAAAGCAGCUACUUCAAGAGAAAACUAGGUGAACAGGUUAAAUGUCUGGUCAAUCAAGAGCAAAGAAUGCUUUAACUAAAAGCAGCUACUUCAAGAGAAAACUAGGUGAACAGGUUAAAUGUCUGGUCAAUCAAGAGCAAAGAAAGCGAGAUAAUAGCUAAGAGAGAGAGAGAGAGAUCAAUUUGGGUAAUAACAAAGGAAAAACAAAUCCAGACUCGACAUCCAAGAGUACGUAAUAGUGAUAAUAGAAAUGACAACAUAAGGCAUUUUUCCAUAAUUGCCAACUCAACACUGAAAGCUUAUUCUCAGAAUUAAUUAAAUUGGUGUGUAAUUGAAAGAACAUUUACAAUGCUCAAAUGUGUCAUUAUGCAGUGACUGCAUUUCAUGAUUAUAUAGAUAAACCAACAUGAAUCAGAUAAAAACCAAGAGAAUUUGUUCUAUAUUUCUAGAUAAGAAUGUUUAGAUGUUAAAGAUUGUAGUUUAAGAUACCCUGAAAAAGAAUAUAAUUUAAACAAACUAAUCUACGCAAUAAAGGCAUUGUGAACAAAUUGUGUAAAUAGAAUAACUUGCUGAUCCAAAGUAUUUAACUGAAUAUUAGGAAGAACAAAAGCUUGCACUGAAGAAAAGCCCGGCAUAAAGGGUGAGCAACAUGGGGACAAAAUCAGAACUUAGGGAUUUAAGCACAAAAAAUUGCAGAGUGAAAC
rnacentral:lncRNA from 1 species